rnacentral:misc_RNA from 1 species
CAGCCGCGUAAUUCCAGCUCCAAUAGCGUAUAUUAAAGUUGUUGCAGUUAAAAAGCUCGUAGUUGAAUUUCGGGAUCAAGGAAUCGGUCAUGCCUUGGUAUGUACUGGUUUUAUUGGUUCUCACCUUCUAAAGAACCAUAAUGUCAUUUAUUUGAUGUUAUGGGGAAUUAGGACUGUUACCUUGAAAAAAUUAGAGUGUUUAAAGCAAGCUUACGCUUGAAUACAUUAGCAUGGAAUAAUGAAAUAGGACAUCAGAUUCUAUUUUGUUGGUUUCUAGGAUCGAUGUAAUGAUUAAUAGGGAUAGUUGGGGGCAUUAGUAUUCAAUUGUCAGAGGUGAAAUUCUUGGAUUUAUUGAAGACUAACUACUGCGAAAGCAUUUGCCAAGGAUGUUUUCAUUAAUCAAGAACGAAAGUUAGGGGAUCGAAGACGAUCAGAUACCGUCGUAGUCUUAACCAUAAACUAUGCCGACUAGGGAUCGGAUGAUGUUAAUUUUUUAAUGACUCAUUCGGCACCUUACG